UAAUUUAUACGUCGUAGUUAUAUGUAACCGCCAUAUUAUUUUUUUGAAAUGGUUUUAUAUGUAAGCAACUUUUCAUCUACCUGACAUACACAUGCGCUGUUUCCAAACCCGAUUAAAAAUUUCAAUCUCCCAGAGAAAACUUUUAGACUUUUUUCCUUGUCAGAGCACUGUCAGAGUAUCUCAUCGUCUUCCUCUCGUCUUCUUCGUCGUCUCUGAACUUAAAC
rnacentral:lncRNA from 1 species